CAUCACACCCACAACAUUUCUCAUCUUCUGGGUGUGGUGUGGAGUGGGGAUCUUAAAAUCAGUAAAUAAAAGCAUUAAAAAAACCAGCCUGCUUUCAGGCUGGGAGACUAAAGUUACAGAAAAGACCACGCUGUGUCCCUGAGGCUCAGGAGAAGGGGAUAGCCUUCUGGGAUUCUGCAGCCACUUAAGAUUCUCAUUUCGUGUUGAAAUUAAUAGAAAGCUCCAGUGUUUGUCUGGGUCAAAGAGACGUGAAGGAAGCCAGCAACUGUGAUGCGAGGAGGGAGGAUAAGAGACCACUGAAGAAGUGCUUCAGAUGAUGGUCUGCGGCCCUAUUUUCUCCUCUGAGUUGCGGUAGUGGCCCGUGCAGACACCUUGCUGCUGGCUUGUGUUGCUCCGAGAGUGGCCAUGUAGGGUGGUACUCAGAAUAUCUCAAGGACAACCUUGCUCAGUGGCUCCCCAAGGGGUUUUGCAAAGAAGCCACAGCAUGAAUGUGUCUCUCAAGGUCUAUGGCAACCCGGCUAGAGAGGAACUGAGAGGCACAGAGGUGUCAGUAACAUCAGCUUUCAGAUGCAAAGACACCUGAUGCCGUGCUGCAGACAACUCCGAAGCAGGUCCGGAAGGUCACACUGAAACAAGAAGCAGACCUCUCCCAGAAUAGGCAGAACAAUACCCCCCAACUCCUGCUUGCUAUGGAGGAUUUUAUGUAUGAUGUGGAAUCAAGAGCUGUUUGAAGACUGGGGAUUUGGGAGAGUCAUCAAAAGCUGUCUGUUUUCCUCUGGAUUUUGCCUUGCAGGUGACUGACCUUUUAACAGGUCAUAAGAAUGGCUGGAUCAAAUGACAAUGAGACAGUUCUGUCCAAAUUUCUAUGUAGUACAUACAGAUGAGAAAUUUGGUCUUGAAGGCCUGGAGAGCUAUGCGUCACCGAUACACGAAAGCUUCUUGGGAAAUGCAAAAAUUCAGAUAUCUACAACUGGAUAUGCAGCUACAUAAAAUAACACCAUUGUAAAGAUUUCAAACCCAGGCUUCAAGAGCUCUGCCUGACCUUUCCACCUCAAAUAUGAAGACAAAUGGCCAUUGACCACUUCUACCUCACCAAGAAACAGGAUCCUUUCUCCAGCUGACAUCCAGCCUGACAGAGCUCUAUUAAAGAACCAGUGGGACUACAGCAGUGUUCACCACCUGAGCUCUCCUGUGCCCUGCGACCAACACUUCAAAUAACCUCAAUGAGAAUGGAUGAAGACAGGGUCUUUACCCAUGGUUUCAGUCUCACGCCUCUGGUUCUGCACUUGCUCAGCAAAAUAUAAUCCCCUAGAACUGAGGAAGGGAAGGUAGCAAAAUGAUCUCUUGGCAAAACACCAGGAAGGCUAAUGAAUAAAUAAAAUAAAUUGUAGCAAAAUUCCCAGGUACUUCAAAGUGUGAGCAUGGUCCUCCACACUUGGAGUCCUCCAUGCAAAACCACAUGCAGAGUUGUGCACCACAGGACCACGGCAUUCAAGUAUGGGGUAGAGCGAGUCAAAGCCUCCACUGGAAUAAACCAAAUCCUGAAACACUGCAAUGAAGCCAGCAUGAUGGACCCGCAUGUGGACCCUGAUCAGUGAGGAGUUGCUAUAUGGCCAGGUAGUAGCACAGCACCUUACAUGAUGACUAAGGAAAAGGAUGUACCAGGCUGUUGAAUUUUACAUCUGCCCAUUUCAUCGUAUAACAUCUUGCCUUAUCUUUGGAUAACACCGAACGGAUUCACAACCCUCAUGGUAAGACAGUGCCAAUGUGUUCGUUCACAGAGAGCAAAGAGUUACAGCAUGGCAAAAAGCUAAUUUCUGGACAUCCACUUCCUUAAGCUGUAGGAAAUAAUUGACUUUCACACUGAGACAGUUUUUCUGAAUUUCGUAUGUGCGUGCUUUCUCUGAAUCACUGUUUUUGACGUUUUGUUUAAUAUGUCAUAAAUUUUUACUACACUUGACUGGUAUAUAUCAUGAUAGCACUAAUGUUUCAAUACAGCAACAAUUUUAUGUAUUCUUCGUCAUGUUUUGGUAAAAAGGAAAAUGCUUUUUGUAUUUUCUUUGGUUAAUUUUAACAACAAGGGCAGCAGUUAGUUGUCAGGCCUGGAAACAGCACUUUUGCAGAUUAAAAAGGCUGUGGAAAAUUUCUAGGUUUGUCCAAGGAGAGAGUUUCUAGGUGAGGAAGAAACCAGUGGAACAAUUUUAAGAGAAACACAGAAAUAUCACUUUAAUCAACAUGUACAACUCCUUUUGGAACAAAAAGUUCUGCUUUUUUAACACAAAAUCAAGCAAAUAUGAGCUAGCAUUUCUCAUGUUCAGAGAGUUCACCAAACAGUGGCUAACAAACAUACUUUUGCAAAGCUUUCUAAAGGUCUUUUUAUUUAGCAAUAUAAGGCAAAUAUUUCAGCUUGAUGACAAUAGAUAAGAAGUACGGACUGACAAAUACAAAUUGGAUUUUUUUUUUCACCCUAGGACUUAAGAAAUAUCUCCAAGCUGACUAAUAAAUCCGGUCACUUCCCCUCUGUCUCACUCUUGUCCAGUCUGUGAAGAGCUCCUAAAUAUUUGUCAAAUGCAAACAAGAAAUUAGAAAUAGGAAAGGUGUGGCUAUAUACAGGAAAAUGGAUAUCUAAAAAGUUUAAGGGGGAAAAAAAAAAAGUAUAAAUUACACACAGUAGCCUGCUCCAGGGCUAUUGAAUUCAGCUGGAGCUUUUCCAUCGGCCUCAAUGACCUUUGGACUAGGCCCACCACUGUUGUGACGAAAUGCAGAGUUCUCAUCUCUCUGCCUAUUCAACCCCAAACCCAGUCUCUGUGCUGGAGCCCUCCCACCCCAGCUGAAGCUGGAUUCGGACCACACUUCAGCCAGGACACCUGAGCUGAAAUCCAACCUAUUCAGCGAACACAGCACAUUGUUUAUUGAAGCAGAUACCGCACUUAAAAUGCAAGCAUCAUGUGGAGGGACUCUGUCCAACUCUCCUUUGAGUCCAGCCGACUGGAAUCAAAUUUAUCCGUCCACUUCUGCUGCUCUGUGACAGUCUGGCAACACAAAGCAGUUGUGAACUUCUGGGACCACUUGAAACAUACUUGGCCCAGGUAUAAAAAGUUACAAAAGGGACUGGGCAAGGUAGCGUGAUCUACCCAGCACAAUCAUUUUAAGGGAGGGUCAUGACUGUAAAGCUUUACUUUUCCUUAGGUGACCCCCUUGCUCUGUGCAGCAGUGAGAACAAGGGACUGGACAGCGGAUGACAGCUUGCACUUGUGACAGGAGUUUUUCCAGUGUGUUUCCUGCGCUGUACAAGGUGAAAUAAUUCACUUGAAUUUCCCCUGCUCCUUUGCAACUCUAUAAAAAGCAAAACUGGUAUGGAAGCAGAGUGCUUAUGGGCAGGAUGAAAUCAAAGUGGUGCACUUUUGUAGUCUUUUCCAAACACAAUAAAUUAGAGGUGUGGUUUGAUGGGGUUUUUGGUUGGUUGGUUGG